rnacentral:rRNA from 1 species
UACGUAGGGACCAAGCGUUGUUCGGAUUUACUGGGCGUAAAGGGUGCGUAGGUGGGCAGUUAAGUCAGUGGUGAAAUCUCCGGGCUUAACCCGGAAACUGCCAUUGAUACUAUCUGUCUUGAAUAUCGUGGAGGUAAGCGGAAUAUGUCAUGUAGCGGUGAAAUGCUUAGAUAUGACAUAGAACACCAAUUGCGAAGGCAGCUUACUACCCGAAUAUUGACACUGAGGCACGAAAGCGUGGGGAUCAAACAGG